CUCGGUUCACGUUAGAUCACCGAAGUCAAGCAUCAUUGGGCGAGGUCAGUACUUAAGUGGGUGAUCACCUGGAAACAUCGCGUGCCGUU